AAUACAUGCAAGUCGAACGCGUUGGCCCAAUUGAUUGAUGGUGCUUGCACCUGAUUGAUUUUGGUCGCCAACGAGUGGCGGACGGGUGAGUAACACGUAGGUAACCUGCCCAGAAGCGGGGGACAACAUUUGGAAACAGAUGCUAAUACCGCAUAACAGCGUUGUUCGCAUGAACAACGCUUAAAAGAUGGCUUCUCGCUAUCACUUCUGGAUGGACCUGCGGUGCAUUAGCUUGUUGGUGGGGUAACGGCCUACCAAGGCGAUGAUGCAUAGCCGAGUUGAGAGACUGAUCGGCCACAAUGGGACUGAGACACGGCCCAUACUCCUACGGGAGGCAGCAGUAGGGAAUCUUCCACAAUGGGCGCAAGCCUGAUGGAGCAACACCGCGUGAGUGAAGAAGGGUUUCGGCUCGUAAAGCUCUGUUGUUAAAGAAGAACACGUAUGAGAGUAACUGUUCAUACGUUGACGGUAUUUAACCAGAAAGUCACGGCUAACUACGUGCCAGCAGCCGCGGUAAUACGUAGGUGGCAAGCGUUAUCCGGAUUUAUUGGGCGUAAAGAGAGUGCAGGCGGUUUUCUAAGUCUGAUGUGAAAGCCUUCGGCUUAACCGGAGAAGUGCAUCGGAAACUGGAUAACUUGAGUGCAGAAGAGGGUAGUGGAACUCCAUGUGUAGCGGUGGAAUGCGUAGAUAUAUGGAAGAACACCAGUGGCGAAGGCGGCUACCUGGUCUGCAACUGACGCUGAGACUCGAAAGCAUGGGUAGCGAACAGGAUUAGAUACCCUGGUAGUCCAUGCCGUAAACGAUGAGUGCUAGGUGUUGGAGGGUUUCCGCCCUUCAGUGCCGGAGCUAACGCAUUAAGCACUCCGCCUGGGGAGUACGACCGCAAGGUUGAAACUCAAAGGAAUUGACGGGGGCCCGCACAAGCGGUGGAGCAUGUGGUUUAAUUCGAAGCUACGCGAAGAACCUUACCAGGUCUUGACAUCUUGCGCCAACCCUAGAGAUAGGGCGUUUCCUUCGGGAACGCAAUGACAGGUGGUGCAUGGUCGUCGUCAGCUCGUGUCGUGAGAUGUUGGGUUAAGUCCCGCAACGAGCGCAACCCUUGUUACUAGUUGCCAGCAUUAAGUUGGGCACUCUAGUGAGACUGCCGGUGACAAACCGGAGGAAGGUGGGGACGACGUCAGAUCAUCAUGCCCCUUAUGACCUGGGCUACACACGUGCUACAAUGGACGGUACAACGAGUCGCGAACUCGCGAGGGCAAGCAAAUCUCUUAAAACCGUUCUCAGUUCGGACUGCAGGCUGCAACUCGCCUGCACGAAGUCGGAAUCGCUAGUAAUCGCGGAUCAGCAUGCCGCGGUGAAUACGUUCCCGGGCCUUGUACACACCGCCCGUCACACCAUGAGAGUUUGUAACACCCAAAGUCGGUGGGGUAACCUUUUAGGAGCCAGCCGCCU
rnacentral:rRNA from 1 species